CAGCCGCCACGGGAAUACGGAGGGUGCGAGCGUUAAUCGGAAUAACUGGGCGUAAAGGGCACGCAGGCGGCUAUUUAAGUGAGGUGUGAAAUCCCCGGGCUUAACCUGGGAAUUGCAUUUCAGACUGGGUAGCUAGAGUACUUUAGGGAGGGGUAGAAUUCCACGUGUAGCGGUGAAAUGCGUAGAGAUGUGGAGGAAUACCGAAGGCGAAGGCAGCCCCUUGGGAAUGUACUGACGCUCAUGUGCGAAAGCGUGGGGAGCAAACAGGAUUAGAUACCCGGGUAGUCCCUGUCUCUUAUAC
rnacentral:rRNA from 1 species